UACGAAGGGGGCUAGCGUUGCUCGGAAUCACUGGGCGUAAAGCGCACGUAGGCGGCUUUCUAAGUCAGGGGUGAAAUCCUGGAGCUCAACUCCAGAACUGCCUUCGAUACUGGGAAUCUUGAGUCCGGAAGAGGUGAGUGGAACUGCGAGUGUAGAGGUGAAAUUCGUAGAUAUUCGCAAGAACACCAGUGGCGAAGGCGGCUCACUGGCUCGAUACUGACGCUGAGGUGCGAAAGCGUGGGGAGCAAACAGG
rnacentral:rRNA from 1 species